AACUAAUGAACUUGUAAAAGUAUAUAUUUUGAAAGUAUAAUAAAGAGAUGCUAAUUCUCUAUUAGUUU
rnacentral:tRNA from 2 species